rnacentral:tRNA from 1 species
CGGGGUGUAGCCCAGCGGUAGGGCGCUACGUUCGGGACGUAGAGGUCGGGAGUUCGAGUCUCCCCACCCCGACCA